CUUCACUACAACUUUGCAUUGAUUUUGAAUUUUUGAUGUGUAGGAUAGUUGGGAGACUUUGAAGUGGUGUCGCUAGGCAUCAUGGAGUCGUCGUUGAAAUACCAACCUUUAAACAUUUAGAAUCUAAUCCCUAACGGGAAACAGUGCAUGGUGGGUAGUUUGACUGGGGUGGUCGCCUCCUAAAAUGUAACGGAGGCUUGCAAAGGUUCCCUCAGUACGGUUGGUAAUCGUACAUAGAGCGUAUUAGUAUAAGGGAGCUUGACUGUGAGACAUACAUGUCGAGCAGGGACGAAAGUCGGCUAAAGUGAUCCGGUGGUUCUGUAUGGAAGGGCCAUCGCUCAAAGGAUAAAAGGUA
rnacentral:rRNA from 1 species